GGAUGAGCAGCCACACUGGGACUGAGACACGGCCCAGACUCCUACGGGAGGCAGCAGUGGGGAAUUUUCCGCAAUGGGCGAAAAGCCUGACGGAGCAAGACCGCGUGAGGGAGGAAGGCCUUUGGGUUGUAAACCUCUUUUGUCAGGGAAGAAAUUAUGACGGUACCUGACGGAAUCAGCCUCGGCUAACUCCGUGCCAGCAGCCGCGGUAAUACGGAGGAGGCAAGCGUUAUCCGGAAUCAUUGGGCGUAAAGCGUCCGUAGGUGGCCAGGUAAGUCUGCUGUCAAAGACCACAGCUUAACUGUGGAAAGGCAGUGGAAACUGCAGCGCUAGACGUACGGUAGGGGUAGAGGGAAUUCCAGGUGUAGCGGUGAAAUGCGUAGAUCUCUGGAAGAACACCGGUGGCGAAAGCGCUCUACUGGGUCCGAAACUGACACUGAGGGACGAAAGCUAGGGGAGCGAAAGGGAUUAGAUACCCCUGUAGUCCUAGCCGUAAACGAUGGAUACUAGGUGUAGCACUG
rnacentral:rRNA from 1 species